rnacentral:lncRNA from 1 species
GCCGGGCCGGGGGCGGGCGGAGCGCGGAGGCGGCGAGGGAAGCAGGGGAGAGGGUGGGAGAGCGAGGGGCGGCUGCGGGCCGGGAGCCCUGAGCCGGACUGAGGCUGGGGGGCUGGAGCUGGGGGCCGGGAGCUGGGAGCCGAGGCUGGGGACCGGGAGCUGGGGGCCGGGAGUUGGGGCUGGGGGCUGAGGCUGGGAGCUGGGGCUGGGGGCUGAGGCUGGCGGCUGGGAGUUGGGGCUGGGGGCUGAGGCUGGGGGCUGGGAGUUGGGGCUGGGGGCUGAGGCUGGGGGCUGGGAGCUGGGGGCUGGGGGGGCUGAGGCUGGGGGCUGGGAGCUGGGGGCUGGAGGCUGAGGCUGGGCGGGGGCAGGGGCAGGGGCUGUUGCUGACGGUCCGGGGAGGGGUCUGGGGCUCCCCGUGUCUCCCGCAGCCUCCGGGCAAGCGCCGGAGGGCGAAAGCAGCGUGUGGUCGGAGGCGGAGCGGUGCGGGCCGGUGUGCGGGGGGCCGGGGCGCGGGGGCCCGGCGCUCGGCUCCUCCGGCUUCGCCCCCUGGCCGGACCCCUGAGCCCGCACCCCGCACCCCGCACCCCGCACCCCGCACCCCGCACGGAACUCCAGCCGUCCGCUGGGCGGCUCUUUGGCCGGGUCCGGCCGCAGGCUGGCGGGGACAGCGGCCGGCGGACAGCGGCCAGAAGGCGGCCGGUCCCGGGACGAAACAAGCCUGCCAUGAAAAGCGAGGUUGGAGGGGGCCACCCAACCACCACCGUGCAUCUCUGCUCAAUUUAGUCUCGGAGACACGGCUUUGCCCGCGGCUCCGCUGCCAUGUUCAGAAAAGACGGAGCCUGAUGCUCGCGUCCCGAGAGGGAUAAGAAGAUGAUAUGUCAAGAUUUGGAUUUUAAUUAUGCAAGAGGCGUUUCAUUCCCAUCUCACACUCCCCUCCCCACUGCUCCCCACCCGGG